GUCAGGCUGUGUUUCUGAAGCCGGGCGCUGAUCGCGCCAUAGGCAGGAACACUUUGAAGCUCAGGUCACGUCCACACUCUCCUCCCUGCUUCUGCUCUCUGUCUCUGUUCAAUGCCCCGUUUGGUUUUUAAGGGAUGUCCUGUCCACAUGUACAGGGUUUGCAGGAAGAGGAGAUGGAGGCUUUUUGGGAAUGAUCUCAACAGGAAACUAGAUGGCAUUGAUAUCCUUGCAGAGAACAAAAUGUGAUUUCAACUUUGCAGACGCCUCUGCCUGAAAACAACAACAAAGCCAACAGCAGCCACAGUCUAAGAUACCAACACAUCACUCUGGGCUCUGUCAAAUCCCCAGCCGAGGCAAGUUUGAAUGAAAAUGCAUUUGGAAUGUGGUGUUCUGUGAUGUAUUUUUCAUAGCAAUUCUGGCAUUUCUUUCACAGGCUCCCUCAUGCCCUCUUAAAACAUUAUCGAGAAGAAACUGCACUUUCAUCCGACAUGAAAACCAUUUCAGACAUUACUGUUGCUCUGUUAGAAAAUCGAUUUAAAUACAACAAGUAAAUAGCAUUGAUCCAAAUAAAAAAAAGGACCUUUGGAUGCCUCAUUCAAGAUUGCCAGUCCCUCUCAAUCACCAUUCUGUUAAAAACAGAUUGUGAAAGAGCUGUUACACAGAAGCGUGCAGCAAAAUCAUGCAAAGACAACAAACCUGUAGGGUUCUGCUACUGGAUCCUAGAGAAUAAUGACACUUAGUCGUAGCAUUCGCCCGAUUGACUAAAAAGUGAGGACAUGUGAUUAACAAUAUCAGAACAAUCACAAUCAUGUUUACAAAUAACAUUUUAGAAUCUCUUUAUAUACAGGGAGUAUGGAUAACACAACCAAUGGCAGUGUGUGCUUGCCCAGAUGAACCCCACAAAUGAAUUAUUGGGUAAUUUACAAUCCAUUAAAGAUGAAAUAAUAUUGACAUUGGAAUAGUUGCCACUUUGCAAAGUACACUAUUACAUCACAGAGAGAAAACCUUGGGCUUGUGUUUUGUAAUGUCAGCGGAAAAGCUUUGGGUUACCUUAGAAACAGAAGCCAUCCUGUGAGUGUAAUGCUUCCUCUUUCCAUGCUCUCUGCAAACGGGACCUCGUACGUGCAAGACGCCAGUUUAAUUGACAACUUCACGAAGGAAUCCAACAAACCACAGCUCUGGUAUUCUCAGAAUUCCAGUGCUUCUUGUCCUGUGCAUACCGACAUCAUCCCGUGCAGGGUUUUUGUUUAAAAGCAAUUCCUGAUUAAGACCUUCUGAUUUAUACUGUGUGAAUACCCUUUUUGCUUUAGUUAUGUUUUAUGUUAUCCAUAAUAAAUGGUCUUCAAUAGAAAUGGUGCUUUACUAAGGGGCUACUGGUAGUAUGCUACCAUAGCUGACUUACCAAUGGUAUCCCUACGGUAUAAACACACAAUACACAUUGGUAAUACAUGAGUAUCACAGUACCAUAUCAGCAUCAUAUCAGGACCACUAUGAAUUAUUUCUUCCAAACCUGUUGUAUUGCCUGCCAUUGUUUUUUCCUGAGUAACUUUUGUGAUUCAUAUGGUGUGAGUUCACAUUAUGUUUCAGCUUUGCUUUACGCUAGGCAAGCUUGUGUAGUUACUGUGUAAUUACAUUGUCAUUGCUGGAAACUAAAAUAAAGGGUUGCCAUGCA